CCUACGGGAGGCAGCAGUAAGGAAUAUUGGUCAAUGGAGGCAACUCUGGACCAGCCAUGCCGCGUGCAGGAAGACGGCCCUCUGGGUUGUAAACUGCUUUUAUUCGGGAAUAAACCUACUUACGUGUAAGUAGCUGAAUGUACCGAAGGAAUAAGGAUCGGCUAACUCCGUACCAGCAGCCGCGGUAAUACGGAGGAUCCAAGCGUUAUCCGGAUUUAUUGGGUUUAAAGGUGCGUAGGCGGCCUAUUAAGUCAGGGGUGAAAGACGGUAGCUCAACUAUCGCAGUGCCCUUGAUACUGAUGGGCUUGAAUGGACUAGAGGUAGGCGGAAUGUGACAAGUAGCGGUGAAAUGCAUAGAUAUGUCACAGAACACCGAUUGCGAAGGCAGCUUACUAUGGUCUUAUUGACGCUGAGGCACGAAAGCGUGGGGAUCGAAACAGGAUUAGAUACCCUGGUAGUCCACGCCCUAAACGAUGAAUACUCGCUGUUGGCGAUACACAGUCNGCGCAGACGAAGAGUAGUAUCACGNGGAGUACGCCGCGAGGAGAACGACGAAGAAGUAGAGCGNGAGACGAGCGACGGACGACGACGAGGGAGGAGG
rnacentral:rRNA from 1 species